CUGUUCUUGAUUUUACUGAGAUGCCUCCUUCCUCUAACAAUUUACUUAACACUCUUUCAGUUUGUUUUUUACUAAUUUCUGAUCCCAUAUUUCUACUAUAAUACAACCCAACAAGAUAACGCCUAACAAAACUGAAACAGAGUGAAACAAAAUUGGAACAACACAAAAUCAUUAUAAUAGCCUCCUGAAAUGUCCAUCCGUCCUUUCUCCCUAUCUGUUCCUCAGAUGUGAGCGGUUUUUCUUCCAUCUUACACAUCUCCAGGGACAGGCAACUUAAAACAAAAGUGAAGCAAAACAAAAGAAUAAUCUUAAAAUGGCUACCCAUCCUCUCGCCCUGCCCUCAGGGGCGAGCAGUUUACCUUAUCACUUACCCUCAGUCGUUCCCCGUGCGGCCCACCAAAUGCCGCAGUCUGGCUGGGCACAAUCAGGAGCCACUUGUCAAAAG
rnacentral:lncRNA from 1 species